CCUACGGGAGGCAGCAGUGGGGAAUAUUGCACAAUGGGCGAAACCCUGAUGCAGCGACGCCGCGUGAGUGAAGAAGGAAUUCGGUAUGUAAACCUCUAUCAGCAGGGAAGAAAAGGCAGGGACCUGAGCAGGAAGGGCUGGUACACUACGAGACAGCAGCCGCGGGCACACGACGGGCGCGCGCGGUGUUCGGAAUUACGGGGCGUAAAGCGCUCGUUGGUGGUUUGUCAAGUAAAGGGGGAAAGCCCCGCGUUCAACGUGGGAACUGCCGUUGAAACUGGGAAACUGGAGUGUGUGAGAGGAUAGUGGAAUUCGAGGUGUAGGAGUGAAAUCCGUAGAUAUCUGGAGGAACAUCAGUGGCGAAGGCGACUAUCUGGCACAUAACUGACGCUGAGGCGCGAAAGCGUGGGUAGCAAACAGGAUUAGAUACCCUAGUAGUC
rnacentral:rRNA from 1 species